rnacentral:tRNA from 1 species
GAUCUGGUGGUGUAGUUGGUUAUCACGUCAGUCUAACAGUCGAAUUCUUCCUCUGAGUGCACUGAAGGUCUCCGGUUCAAGUCCGGGCUAGAUCA